rnacentral:rRNA from 1 species
AGUGAACGCUGGCGGUAGGCCUAACACAUGCAAGUCGAACGGCAGCACAGUAAGAGCUUGCUCUUACGGGUGGCGAGUGGCGGACGGGUGAGGAAUACAUCGGAAUCUACUUUUUCGUGGGGGAUAACGUAGGGAAACUUACGCUAAUACCGCAUACGACCUACGGGUGAAAGCAGGGGAUCUUCGGACUUUGCGCGAUUGAAUGAGCCGAUGCCGGAUUAGCUAGUUGGGGGGGUAAAGGCCCACCAAGGCGACGAUCCGUAGCUGGUCUGAGAGGAUGAUCAGCCACACUGGAACUGAGACACGGUCCAGACUCCUACGGGAGGCAGCAGUGGGGAAUAUUGGACAAUGGGCGCAAGCCUGAUCCAGCCAUACCGCGUGGGUGAAGAAGGCCUUCGGGUUGUAAAGCCCUUUUGUUAGGAAAGAAAAGCAGCAGGUUAAUACCCCGCUGUUCUGACGGUACCCAAAGAAUAAGCACCGGCUAACUUCGUG